CGUGGCGAAAACGAGACGCGAAGUGAGUGCAUUCGACACGCCGGUCAGGCAGGCUGGAAACAUAAAUUUCCUAGUGAAAUCGACGCGCGCCACAUAUAUCCUUAACUGCAGCAAGCAUAUCAUUUUCAACGUUUGGUGGCGUUGAACUCAGUCCAAUCGAGCCGAGGCCACGCGUCGGAGCAUUCAAGUGUGCACUACAUGUUCUGGCGGACCGGUGUGACUUGGCGACUGCAAGAAACGCCUCGUGAGGGACCGGUUAGUUGUCGGUCUUUGAGACGAGAAGCUUUCAGAGUCUUUUCAAAUGAAGGGCAAACUGACUUUGGCAACGGCUUUAGCGAAAGCGUGACUGAAGGAAAUGGUGCAGGAGAAACAAGAGCUUCGUGGCGCGGAGGGCACCGGCAACUCUACGUCAUUCCAGGAGUGCGAAGAGGUGGGCGUUAACGCCAUUGGGCAUCAGAGGAGCCAGCCGAAGAUAGUCUCCGGAUAAUGAGGUUCACGCUGCAGCUUCGGGGGGGGGGGGGGGGCUUGUGAGGACUGCCUGCCUAGUAAAGACACAAAAACGCCAUAACUGCGGCGUCAAAGAAUAUUUCAGCAAGGUGUGUCUCAAGAAUACCUCACAACGACGGCCGGUACGAGUCUCCUCAGUACACAUGGACUCUACAGAUGUUUUCUUGGGAAUAAUUAUAGCAUCUAGCACGGGGUCGUGAUUUUUCCUAGUAAGAGUUGAUGAUGUGCCAGUUUUUUCCAAGGUGGAUAUGGGUGCCAAAGUUUCGGUAGUACCAAAGUCUCUUCCAGGUUUACCCACCAAACUAAGUAAGACAGACGAGGUGCUCGCGGGAGCCAGUGGGGCCAUUUUGAUGUAUUGGGCAAAUUCGAGGCAGAGGUUUAAUGGAAAGUAAAAACUUCUCGCCAGG